ACGUGUAACAAGAAUAGUGAUCGAAAGGUCGCUAUUCUUAUUAACUCUGUUAUACCCUUGUGGUGAAUAUAGGAAACUAGAUGUGAUUGUGGUGGUUGAGGCCUGUUAAACGGCCAUAGACGCCACGAUCCUCUUCUUAACUAAAAACAUUAUCAUUACAUUAUUAAUCUAAAGUAACCUUGUGGAAUUGGAUGGAUUCGUCUAUUCUAGUCACCAAGUAAAACAAUAAUAAUCUAAUA
rnacentral:misc_RNA from 1 species